CUCGGCGGCUGUCCGAAUGCCUCCUGGUACCCCGGCGGCGAGCGCCACCGGGAGCGCCCUCCGACCCCACAGUCUCAGAGUGUCCUGCGCUGCGGACCCAGGACGCCCACGCAGGGCCCCUUAAGGACAGGACAGUGGCUCUAAGGUGCCUCCUGCAGGGGUGAGUGUGGGCGUUUGGGCCCGCAGAUAGCCAGCUACCAGGAGAAUGCGAGGGAGAUCCUUACUCCACCUGACUUCCGGCUUAAUGCCCCAUUCCAUCCCCUUUCCCUGUUUCCAUUUUCUUCCAUAGCACUUCCUUUUUACAAAAUCAACUUGCGUGAAGUAUAGUUGACAUAGAAUUAAAUUUGCCCUUCUGAACAUGUAUAUUUGCCGUAUAUAACCUCCACCCCAAUCAACAUAUGGAACAUUUCCAUCAUUCAAAAAGUUCCCUCAGAUAGCGCUUACCUUAAACAAACUAUAACUUAAUUCCUUAUUCUAUCUAUUUAUUCUGUCUCUUCCAUGGCCCCUAGAAUGUAGGCUCCUGGAGGCAGAAUCUUUGUUUUGUACACUGAAGUUCUCAAGUUCACAGUGCCAGGGGAAUAGUAGCUAUUGGACACACAUUUGUUGAAUAAAUAAACUCCAACACAUGAGACAAUCAAACGGAAAAUGAAAUAUUAUCAAACCACUAGAAAAAAGUAAAAGCAAAUGCUGUAGGUUGAAUUGUGUCCCACCAAAGGACGUUGAGUCCUAACCCCCAGGGCUUGUGAAUGUGAGCUUCUGUGGAAACGGGGUCUUUGCAGAUGAUCAAGUUAAGAUGAGGUCGUUAGAGUGGACCCUAAUCCGCUACGCCAGCUGUCCUUAUAAAAUGGAGAGAUUUGGGCACAAACACACAAGGAGAACGCCAUGUGAAGACAGAAGCAGAGAUCAGAUUAGGGUGAUGCAUCUGCAAGCUGGGGAGAGAGGCAUGAGCAGAUGCUCCCUCGCAGCCCUCAGAAGGAGCCAGCCCUGUGGAAACCUUGAUCUCAGACUUGCAGCUUCCAGAACCGCAGACAACGCAGUACCUCUGGCUUGUGGAGACUCUUCUGGUGGCUCUACGUUGGAGGAGGUCGUGGAGAGAACAUGAUCACCAGUUGACUGAGAACUGGACCUGGGCGGUCAGAGGCUCCUCACCCCUCCCCUGUGCUUGGAAUGGAUGCUAUCCUUGCUGUUCCCACAGUGGGAGCCGUCUUCAAGGAUGCAGCUCUGAGAGAGCACUGUGUUAUUGACGCCAUCUGGACGGGAUGCAUGACUGAACCCCGUUAAGGUCUCUGUCUAAACUUUCAAGAUUUGAUGGCAGUACGGAGAUCUACUCGUCUUGGCGGCCGCCCAAGACAAGCCUCGUAAAUAGGUUCCCCUGCUUAUGAAACUGCCACCUGCCAAUCUGGAGGGCUCUGCCUCGUUCCUCAGUCUCUCCUGGCCCUGCGUGUACGGGGCUGGUUUUGGGACCAACAUUCCAGCCGCUACCUUCCUCCAGAACGUGCUCCUCCUGCUGUUCCCGUCCGGGUCAGCAGUGGUAUCGAACCUGAAGUGAGUUGGCUCACCCGUCGCACAGCAAGCCAGUCUCUAACACGAGAUGUAGUGGAAGAAAGGUCCUCUAUCUUUGGUUUUAACGGCACUCGUCUUCCCCUCUUGACCUCCACGGCCUCUCCCUCCUGCUGCUCUCCAUCCUCCCGGCCACUGCUACUGCUCACACCCGGCCCUGGACUCCAGCGACGGCCUCCUCUCCAGGCCCCCGGCCCCAGGGCUUCCCCUCCAGUCUUCACGGGGCCUCCAGAAUGAUUUCUAGGUCCUCCUUUAAAACUUUUUUGUAUCCUACAGAGUACUGGGUAGAAUAGUGGCCCCCUAAAACACCUCAGAAGGUGACCUUAUUUGGAAUAACGGGUUUGCAGAUGUCAUUAGGCAAGGAUCUCCGAGUGAAAUCAUCAUGGAUUUAGAGUGGGUUCUAAAUCCAAUGACUGGUGUCCAUGUCAGAAGAAGAGACAGAGACAUGAGGGCAAAGGCCAUGGGAAGAUGGAGGUAGAGAAGGGAGAGAUGUAGCCACAACCUAGGAAUGGCCGGAGCCGGGGGGAGGCACUCAUUGGAGGGGCCACAGAGCACCAUGUGGGCUGGAGGUUAGCACAGCGUUGGCACAACUUCUUAAUAGGAAAAAAAUGGAAGAAACCUAAAGACCCAUCUAUAAGAUAUUAGUUAAAUUAACUGUGAAAUAACCAUGCAUUCAAAGAGGGACUCUUUAUUCUCCUGGUUUUCAAGGCACAGGUGCCAGGCAGGCUGCAUUGUCAGCAAAGGCAGGUAAGCCGGUAGAUGCAGAGAUACAGGUAUGGCAGGUGGCAGAUGGGGGCGGGGGUUGGAUGGGUGGUGAUGGUGAGGUUGAGGAGCAUUUUGUAUACGUCAGGGACCCUGGCCCCUCCAGGCCCUCCGUCAUCAGGACUUGUCCCCAGGAGGCCUCAGGCCCCCUGGUGCUAGCCCUCCCCAGGAUGCCCCUCAGUCACUGCCCUCCCAGGCCCAAGUGUCACCUCUGAUGUGGGCUGGGCGAGCCGAGGAGUCAAAAGAAAGAUUUCUUGGACUCUCAAGGUCUGGCAGUAGUGCUGUUUUAUUCAGAGAACAGCAUGGGGACAGGACCCAUGGGCAGUGAAGAGCUGCAGUGGGUUGAAGGUAGGGCUAAAUUUAUAAGGCAUAGGUCUGUGAGUUAUUUCUGUACAACGCAAAGGAAGGAUCAUGUACAAAAGUUGUUGAAAUGGUAUCAGUACAGGUGGGGUCUGGUUAUCGUGUGGUCCUACAGCUUUAGACAUGAAUCAGGUCAGGACGUCCUAUGCUUCCCGGAAGAUGAUAUAGAUAGGGAUGUAGGCCAGGAUGCCUUGGACUUCCCUCCCUGGGGCAGCCUUGAUCCUGAUGAAUGUCCUUCAGGAAGUCUCCCAGGACUGAAGGCUCCUGGCUGUGAGCUCCCAGGGGAAGGGUCUUCUGCCAAAAACGUUGACUCUCGGGAUUAUAGCGAGUAGGGGGUGCAGGCUGCAGACUGUGGGGCAGGGAUUGGACACAGGGGCUGGACCUGAAGCUGUAUUUACACAGCGAGCCUCUUCUCCAAAUGGCUCAGAACUGUGGAGUCUUGCGCCCCACUGCCCGCCGCCUCCUGGCAUUGCCCCUGCUCUCUGGGUCUUUCCCUUCCGUCGCUCUCUACCAGCCACACAGGAAACCCCCCCCCCCCCCCCCCGGGCGCUAGGCCUCUCCCUGUGUCCCUCACCUCAGAUGGAGUCCUUAGAUGUCUCACAGACUAGGUACAUUGUCACUAGUUUUAUUUGAGAAAAGGUGAAAAAGAAAUGAAAUGAAAUGAAAAGCCCCGUGAGAAACUCAGAAACUGUCACGUGGUUUCCGGGACCCCCCCACCCCCACCCCGCUUUUCUAAGAAGUCAUUGUAGGCACAGCAGGGAGGAGCUGCAAACGCCACUCAAAAGGCAUUUCGCGGGCGGGGCUGCCAGAGCCUGCGGGAGCCAGGGAGGAGAGAGCUUGGCCUCCUUCCCGAGGGGUGGUUGCGACAACUUGAGAAGAUGGUGGCAAGAGAAAGGCUUGGGAUGCACUUCACCAUGAGUGAUGAAAUCCUGGUGACCGCUGCAUUUGUGCUGACCGCGGGCCUUGUUGUGUUUAAGCUGCCUCCGGCUUGUGCCACACUUUUGGUCCCGAUCUUUGCCUCAAAGGUCAUCGAUUACUUCUCAGAGAAGAAAAAGAGAAAAUGAACAGGAACUAUUGACAAGAAUCCUCUCUAAGCCCCUAAAGGACAGGGGUGGACCCACCUUCCUGCGGACAGGAAUGUCAUGAGACAACAUGCUAUACACGGUUGACAUUUUGAGUGUGAACAAAGUCAACUAUGGGCAAAAAAAAAAUCUAUUGAACAACAUUUAUUGAGUGCCUAC
ensembl:lncRNA